rnacentral:rRNA from 1 species
UUUUCUUGGUAGUUUUUGAAGUAUGGUCUGCCCGCUGAUUGAAGGCCCGCGGUAUUUUGACCGUGCAAAGGUAGCAUAGUCAUUAGUUCUUUAAUUGUGAUCUGGUAUGAAUGGCUUGACGAGACAUGAGCUGUCUUUUUGAAUUUGUAUUUUGAGUUAAAAUUCUUAGAUGUUUUUAUGGGACGAGAAGACCCUAUAGAGUUUUACAUUGGUUCUUUUGUUUGUUUUUCAUUAUUAUGUUUGUUUUGUUGGGGUGAUGGGAGGAAUUUCUUUAACUCCUCUUUGUUGUUAUAUUGAUUUGUAUUUGUUUUGAUCCAUUUAUUUUGAUUGUAAGAUUAAAUUACCUUAGGGAUAACAGCGUUAUCUUCCCUGAGAGUUCUUAUUGGCGGGGGGGUUUGCGACCUCGAUGUUGGAUUAAGGUUUAUUUUUGGUGUAGGAGCUGAAUAGAUUAGGUCUGUUCGACCUUUAAAAUCUU